rnacentral:rRNA from 1 species
CCUACGGGGGGCAGCAGUGGGGAAUAUUGGACAAUGGGGGGAACCCUGAUCCAGCCAUGCCGCGUGUGUGAAGAAGGCCCUCGGGUUGUAAAGCACUUUCAGUGAGGAAGAACGCCUGGUGGUUAAUACCCAUCAGGAAAGACAUCACUCACAGAAGAAGCACCGGCUAACUCCGUGCCAGCAGCCGCGGUAAUACGGAGGGUGCGAGCGUUAAUCGGAAUUACUGGGCGUAAAGCGCGCGUAGGUGGCUUGAUAAGCCGGUUGUGAAAGCCCCGGGCCCAACCUGGGAACGGCAUCCGGAACUGUCAAGCUAGAGUGCAGGAGAGGAAGGUAGAAUUCCCGGUGUAGCGGUGAAAUGCGUAGAGAUCGGGAGGAAUACCAGUGGCGAAGGCGGCCUUCUGGACUGACACUGACACUGAGGUGCGAAAGCGUGGGUAGCAAACAGGAUUAGAUACCCGGGUAGUC